CAGCCGUAAACUAUGCUCGCUAGGUGUCAGGCAUGGCGCGACCGUGUCUGGUGCCGCAGGGAAGCCGUGAAGCGAGCCACCUGGGAAGUACGGCCGCAAGGCUGAAACUUAAAGGAAUUGGCGGGGGAGCACAACAACGGGUGGAGCCUGCGGUUUAAUUGGACUCAACGCCGGACAACUCACCGGGGACGACAGCAAUACGUAGGCCAGGCUGAAGACCUUGCCUGAAUCGCUGAGGAGGAGGUGCAGUGGCGUAGACGUCU
rnacentral:rRNA from 1 species